GAUGAACGCUGGCGGCGUGCCUAAUACAUGCAAGUCGAGCGAACAGACGAGGAGCUUGCUCCUCUGACGUUAGCGGCGGACGGGUGAGUAACACGUGGAUAACCUACCUAUAAGACUGGGAUAACUUCGGGAAACCGGGGCUAAUACCGGAUAAUAUAUUGAACCGCAUGGUUCAAUAGUGAAAGACGGUUUUGCUGUCACUUAUAGAUGGAUCCGCGCCGCAUUAGCUAGUUGGUAAGGUAACGGCUUACCAAGGCAACGAUGCGUAGCCGACCUGAGAGGGUGAUCGGCCUCACUGGAACUGAGACACGGUCCAGACUCCUACGGGAGGCAGCAGUAGGGAAUCUUCCGCAAUGGGCGAAAGCUUGACGGAGCAACGCCGCGUGAGUGAUGAAGGUCUUCGGAUCGUAAAACUCUGUUAUUAGGGAAGAACAAAUGUGUAAGUAACUAUGCACGUCUUGACGGUACCUAAUCAGAAAGCCACGGCUAACUACGUG
rnacentral:rRNA from 1 species